CUAGUAGCCCAUGUUCUCUGCUCACAGUUAAUUGUACUCCUCUCCCUUCAUAGCUGUAGUAACCCAUUCACAAGCCCGCCCCCCCAUAACUAGUAGCCUAUUCUCCAACAUUUAUUGUAUCCCAUUCUCCUCAAGAAAUAGUACUCCAUUUCCCUCAACAGUUCACCUCCUUCCUAAGCUAUUUUAGCCUAUUCUCCUCUUCUCACAUCCCUAUAGAUAAUAGCUGAUCAAAGCAGUUGCAAGACUAUUUUAAACCCUAGGCAAGACCCACUACUUGCACAGCCUCUUUGUGUGUUUUUCUGUCCCCCAAUAGCCACUGUGUGUAUCUUUGCUCCCCCCUCACCACUGUGUGUCCCAGGCCUCUUCAUGAAUCUCUUGGUGUUGUCCCACAGCCCCUCUGUGUGUCUUUUGGUACCGUCCCCCAGCAACUUUGCCCGCCGAAUCCCACAGUGUCUUUGUCCCCAGCUCCC